ACUGUCAAAUUUACGUAGAGUAGGCUAGAUUCUGCGGAGAUUCUAGCGUCUACUGUAGAUUUUUGUACCUGUUGUAGCUCUUUGUUAUAUUUAUUGAUAAAAGUUCUGAGGACGAAAUUUCUGAAAAUAGUGACGUGGAUAUGGAAGACAGUGACACUGACAGUGAUGAAACUGUAAACAAACAACGAAUUGCUCAUGAAAACGCAAUGGCUAUGUGGAGAUGGAAGGCCAAGUGUGUUUGUUUGCUCUAUUUGUUGAUGAAACGUCGUCGUUUAAAGGCUUUACAAAAUUCUUAUCGACCAGUUGGUAGGCUGUGGACUAGAUUCCACAACUCUUCAUCACAACGGGAGCAGCAUUCACUGUGUACAACUGUCCUUCUUGCAGAGAAAAGUAUGGCAGAUUGCUUUACCUUCCGAAACAUCACUCGAAUGUCUCCAUCCAUGUUCAAUAAACUGUUGAAAAUGGUUGGUCCAAAACUUGCAAAAAAAGACACAAAAA
rnacentral:lncRNA from 1 species